rnacentral:rRNA from 1 species
ACGGAAGGCAGCAGUGGGGAAUAUUGCACAAUGGGGGAAACCCUAAUGCAGCGACGCCGCGUGAGUGAAGAAGUUAUUCGUAAUGUAAAGCUCUAUCAGCAGGGAAGAAAAUGACGGUACCUGACUAAGAAGCCCCGGCUAACUACGUGCCAGCAGCCGCGGUAAUACGUAGGGGGCAAGCGUUAUCCGGAUUUACUGGGUGUAAAGGGAGCGUAGACGGUCUGGCAAGUCUGAUGUGAAAGGCAGGGGCUCAACUCCUGGACUGCAUUGGAAACUGUCAGUCUUGAGUGUCGGAGAGGUAAGCGGAAUUCCUAGUGUAGCGGUGAAAUGCGUAGAUAUUAGGAGGAACACCAGUGGCGAAGGCGGCUUACUGGACGAUAACUGACGUUGAGGCUCGAAAGCGUGGGGAGCAAACAGGAUUAGAUACCCUGGUA